CCGGGGCAAAGGGUCGCAAUCCCGUGAGGGUGAGCUAAGCGAACAUAGGUGGUGCAUGGCUAUCGUCAGCUCGUGCCGUAAGGUGUUGGGUUAAGUCCCACAACGAGCGCAACCCUCGUGUUUAGUUGCCAUCGUUGAGUUUGGAACCUUGAACAGACUGUCGGUGAUAAGCCGGAGGAAGGUGAGGAUGACGUCAAGUCAUCAUGCCCCUUAUGCCCUGG
rnacentral:rRNA from 1 species